CGUUACGCCGAUUUUGUAUGUAUAGUGUCAAAUAAUGAGUUUACGGUUGUUACUGAUCGUGAGAUUGUAUACAUAAAGAAAGAUAAUUAAAAGGCGCCAGGGGGCGACAAAUGUACGCUAAAAGUUGCGUUAAGUUCCCCGCUCACAGGCCGCGCAGUGAGGCACUCCGUCUCCAGACCUGCUGAACACUUGGCCAAGCACACUACACCAAGUCAUGCAAAACCCGUCGUGUUUCAAAGAGAGAUGUGUAAUGGAUAGAAACUAAAGCUGAUUAUGAACUCUGGCAGCUGGGCUUUGAAUCAGCUGAACUUGUUUGACUGUCUCUUUAGGAAGACCACUAGAAGACCAUUACGACAAUACCAACAGUAAACUUGUCAUGCUCAUUGGUGACAAAAUUGGUGACAAAACUCUAGCUGCUUACACUGACUGCCAGGUUCAUAACACACAACAAAGGGAAGAAACAAAACAGAAUGCUUACAACAGAGGAAUUUCAGCUGUCCUGUCUGCAGUAAUAUAGUGCUGUGAGUGAGCGGUGUGUCCUGGCUAAAUGUUCUGAUGUGUUUUAUCUGUUUAACAGUUCUUCUACCCCUCUAUUGCAUAGACAAUACCAACAGAUAACUUGUCAUGCUCAUUGGUGACAAAAUAUCACGAAAAUGUUGCGGUUUCGCCAGCCGACACGGCCACACCCCCAAUCGACGUGCCCAUGCCGCCACCCACCCUAGCCCCACCAGACUAAUGGAGGCUCCACAUCUACACUGGAGUGUCUACUCAGACUAAAAAUAUGAUAAAUAUGGACUUGCCCAUUAGGGAUAUAGACUCAUAUAUUUGUAAAGCAUGUUUUGUGACAACUUGUGCUGUACAAUGCGCUAUAUAAAUAAACGUGACCUCAACCUUA